GUUGCUACUACCACCA
rnacentral:sRNA from 1 species